GAACACGGUGGAGCAUCUCCAUCAAUAAGACCAGAAUUGCUUCUCAUUGCCAUAAGUUGUUUGUUCUGACUUUGGGAUUGAUGCACUGAAAGUUGUUGAGGUUGCACAGACAUCGAUGUUGAGAAGCCAUUGCUACCCAGUGGUUGCACCUGGCUCUGAGAAAGAGGCAACUGCUGCAAUGGUUGGUUCUGUUGAUGAGUUUGCUGUUGCUGCAACAUUGGAGGCUGCAGCAGUGACCCAGCUGCGGAGAGUAAUU
rnacentral:lncRNA from 1 species